UACGUAGGCAGCAAGCGUUGUUCGGAGUUACUGGGCGUAAAGAGUGCGUAGGCGGUCCUGUAAGUUUGGUGUGAAAUCUCCCGGCUCAACUGGGAGGGUGCGCCGAAGACUGCAGGGCUUGAGUAUGGGAGAGGUAAGCGGAAUUCCUGGUGUAGCGGUGAAAUGCGUAGAUAUCAGGAGGAACACCUGUGGUGUAGACAGCUUACUGGACCAUCACUGACGCUGAGGCCCGAAAGCCAGGGGAGCGAACGGG
rnacentral:rRNA from 1 species